AGAGUUUGAUCCUGGCUCAGGAUGAACGCUGGCGGCGUGCCUAAUACAUGCAAGUCGAGCGAACGGACGAGAAGCUUGCUUCUCUGAUGUUAGCGGCGGACGGGUGAGUAACACGUGGAUAACCUACCUAUAAGACUGGGAUAACUUCGGGAAACCGGAGCUAAUACCGGAUAAUAUUUUGAACCGCAUGGUUCAAAAGUGAAAGACGGUCUUGCUGUCACUUAUAGAUGGAUCCGCGCUGCAUUAGCUAGUUGGUAAGGUAACGGCUUACCAAGGCAACGAUGCAUAGCCGACCUGAGAGGGUGAUCGGCCACACUGGAACUGAGACACGGUCCAGACUCCUACGGGAGGCAGCAGUAGGGAAUCUUCCGCAAUGGGCGAAAGCCUGACGGAGCAACGCCGCGUGAGUGAUGAAGGUCUUCGGAUCGUAAAACUCUGUUAUUAGGGAAGAACAUAUGUGUAAGUAACUGUGCACAUCUUGACGGUACCUAAUCAGAAAGCCACGGCUAACUACGUGCCAGCAGCCGCGGUAAUACGUAGGUGGCAAGCGUUAUCCGGAAUUAUUGGGCGUAAAGCGCGCGUAGGCGGUUUUUUAAGUCUGAUGUGAAAGCCCACGGCUCAACCGUGGAGGGUCAUUGGAAACUGGAAAACUUGAGUGCAGAAGAGGAAAGUGGAAUUCCAUGUGUAGCGGUGAAAUGCGCAGAGAUAUGGAGGAACACCAGUGGCGAAGGCGACUUUCUGGUCUGUAACUGACGCUGAUGUGCGAAAGCGUGGGGAUCAAACAGGAUUAGAUACCCUGGUAGUCCACGCCGUAAACGAUGAGUGCUAAGUGUUAGGGGGUUUCCGCCCCUUAGUGCUGCAGCUAACGCAUUAAGCACUCCGCCUGGGGAGUACGACCGCAAGGUUGAAACUCAAAGGAAUUGACGGGGACCCGCACAAGCGGUGGAGCAUGUGGUUUAAUUCGAAGCAACGCGAAGAACCUUACCAAAUCUUGACAUCCUUUGACAACUCUAGAGAUAGAGCCUUCCCCUUCGGGGGACAAAGUGACAGGUGGUGCAUGGUUGUCGUCAGCUCGUGUCGUGAGAUGUUGGGUUAAGUCCCGCAACGAGCGCAACCCUUAAGCUUAGUUGCCAUCAUUAAGUUGGGCACUCUAAGUUGACUGCCGGUGACAAACCGGAGGAAGGU
rnacentral:rRNA from 1 species